GAGGAUAUAGCUCAAGUGGUAGAGCACGUGCUUGGCGUGCACGAGGUCUUGGGUUCAAUCCCCAGUACCUCCU
rnacentral:tRNA from 1 species